UACGUAGGGUGCAAGCGUUAAUCGGAAUUACUGGGCGUAAAGCGUGCGCAGGCGGUUCGUUGUGUCGGCGGUGAAAGCCCCGGGCUUAACCUGGGAAUGGCCGUUGAAACUGGCGAACUGGAGUGUGGCAGAGGGGGGGUGGAAUUCCGCGUGUAGCAGUGAAAUGCGUAGAGAUGCGGAGGAACACCGAUGGCGAAGGCAGCCCCCCUGGGCUAACACUGACGCUCAGGCACGAAAGCGUGGGGAGCAAACAGG
rnacentral:rRNA from 1 species